rnacentral:rRNA from 1 species
GACGAACGCUGGCGGCGUGCUUAACACAUGCAAGUCGAACGGAAAGGCCCCUUUGGGGGUACUCGAGUGGCGAACGGGUGAGUAACACGUGAGUAACCUGCCCUUGACUUCGGGAUAACUUCAGGAAACUGGGGCUAAUACCGGAUAGGAAUCCUUGCUGCAUGGUGGGGGUUGGAAAGCUUCGGCGGUUUUGGAUGGACUCGCGGCUUAUCAGCUUGUUGGUGGGGUAGUGGCUUACCAAGGCUUUGACGGGUAGCCGGCCUGAGAGGGCGACCGGCCACAUUGGGACUGAGAUACGGCCCAGACUCCUACGGGAGGCAGCAGUGGGGAAUAUUGCACGAUGGGCGGAAGCCUGAUGCAGCAACGCCGCGUGCGGGAUGACGGCCUUCGGGUUGUAAACCGCUUUCAGCAGGGGCGAAGCUUGUGGUGACGGUACCUGCAGAAGAAGCACCGGCUAACUACGUG